AUAAGAGGUCCCGCCUGCCCUGUGACUUACGAGUUUAACGGCCGCGGUAUCCUGACCGUGCAAAGGUAGCGCAAUCACUUGUUUUUUAAAUGGAGACCUGUAUGAAUGGUUUUACGAGGGCUAGACUGUCUCCUUUUUCCAGUCAAUGAAAUUGAUUUUCCUGUGCAGAAGCGGGAAUAACAUCAUAAGACGAGAAGACCCUAUGGAGCUUUAGACACAAGACAGCCUACAUUGAACUAACCAAAACAAUGGGAUGAUAGCAGAGUUAGACCCUGUCCUCAUGUCUUUGGUUGGGGCGACCGUGGGGCACCAAAAACCCCCCAUGUGGAAUGGGGCCUAAACCCCUAAAGUUAGAGCCACAGCUCUUACAAACAGAAUAUCUGACCUUCAAUGACCCGGCACAACCGAUCAACGGACAGAGUUACCCUAGGGAUAACAGCGCAAUCCCCUUCUAGAGCCCAUAUCAACAAGGGGGUUUACGACCUCGAUGUUGGAUCAGGACCCCCUAAUGGUGCAGCCGCUAUUAAGGGUUCGUUUGUUCAACGAUUAAAGUCCUACGUGAUC
rnacentral:rRNA from 1 species